GAAACCCGGUGAUCUAGCCAUGGGCAGGUUGAAGGUUGGGUAACACUAACUGGAGGACCGAACCGACUAAUGUUGAAAAAUUAGCGGAUGACUUGUGGCUGGGGGUGAAAGGCCAAUCAAACCGGGAGAUAGCUGGUUCUCCCCGAAAGCUAUUUAGGUAGCGCCUCGUGAAUUCAUCUCCGGGGGUAGAGCACUGUUUCGGCAAGGGGGUCAUCCCGACUUACCAACCCGAUGCAAACUGCGAAUACCGGAGAAUGUUAUCACGGGAGACACACGGCGGGUGCUAACGUCCGUCGUGAAGAGGGAAACAACCCAGACCGCCAGCUAAGGUCCCAAAGUCAUGGUUAAGUGGGAAACGAUGUGGGAAGGCCCAGACAGCCAGGAUGUUGGCUUAGAAGCAGCCAUCAUUUAAAGAAAGCGUAAUAGCUCACUGGUCGAGUCGGCCUGCGCGGAAGAUGUAACGGGGCUAAACCAUGCACCGAAGCUGCGGCAGCGACGCUGAUGCGUUGUUGGGUAGGGGAGCGUUCUGUAAGCCUGUGAAGGUGUGC
rnacentral:rRNA from 1 species